rnacentral:rRNA from 1 species
CGGGAAUUUUCCGCAAUGGGCGAAAGCCUGACGGAGCAACGCCGCGUGAGUGAGGACGGCCUUCGGGUUGUAAAACUCUGUUCUUGAGGAAGAACUCCGGUCAGGUGAACAGUCUGACUGGUUGACGGUACUCAAGGAGAAAGCCCCGGCUAACUACGCGCCAGCAGCCGCGGUAAUACGUAGGGGGCAAGCGUUAUCCGGAAUUAUUGGGCGUAAAGCGCGCGCAGGCGGCCGGUUAAGUCAGGUGUGAAAGGCUGCGGCUCAACCGCAGAGCUGCAUCUGAAACUGGUCGGCUUGAGUGCAGGAGAGGGGAGCGGAAUUCCCGGUGUAGCGGUGGAAUGCGUAGAGAUCGGGAGGAACACCAGUGGCGAAGGCGGCUCUCUGGCCUGUAACUGACGCUGAGGCGCGAAAGCGUGGGGAGCGAAC